AUGAACCUUGAGGCUGUUGCUGGCCCUCUGGNCNNNNNNNNNNUCUCNUNNAUUACCAAUUCCACCUGUGCACACUUGUAGACACUUGGGAAUGAGAGACUUUAAGCCAGUCUUUUGAAAAUCUAAUCCAGGUGUCUAUGCCAUUUUAUUAAACACUAGUUGCAUGUCUAUAGAAUGUUGAUUUGAUUAUAAUAAAAUACAACUUUCAACAACGGAUCUCUUGGCUCUCGCAUCGAUGAAGAACGCAGCGAAAUGCGAUAAGUAAUGUGAAUUGCAGAAUUCAGUGAAUCAUCGAAUUUUUGAACGCACCUUGCGCUCCUUGGCAUUCCGAGGAGCAUGCCUGUUUGAGUGUCACUAAAGUCUCAAAACCUGUCAGAUUUUUUGAUGGGUAUUGGAUGUUGGGAGUUUUGCAGGCUUGUCUCAGAUAAGCCAGCUCUCUUUGAAUGCAUUAGUGGAGACCAUUUGAACUUCAUUGGCGUGAUACAAUCUUAUCUAUGCCAGGAGUAGUAUUGGGUUAUCUUUGCUGUCUAACUGUCCAGAAAAUUGGACAACUUGACCAACUUGACCUCAAAUCAGGUANGACUACCUGCUGAACUUAAGCAUAU
rnacentral:rRNA from 1 species